UAGCUCAGUCAGUUGAGUGCGGCGCUAACAACGCUAAGGUCACGGGUUCGAUUCCCGU
rnacentral:tRNA from 1 species